rnacentral:pre_miRNA from 1 species
UCUUAAGGGUGAGCAAAGCAAGUGGUUUCUUGAGAUGGAAUCUACUCAUGGUGAAGGUGUUGUGAA